rnacentral:rRNA from 1 species
AACGAACGCUGGCGGCAGGCCUAACACAUGCAAGUCGAGCGAAGCCUUCGGGCUUAGCGGCGGACGGGUGAGUAACGCGUAGAUAAGCUGUCCUGGUGUCUGGAAUAACGUCUCGAAAGGGGCACUAAUACCGGAUAUUCCUGCUUUCUUCAAGGUAUGCAAGGAAAGGUGGCCUCUGGAACAAGCUACUGCACGAGGAGGGGUCUGCGUGCCAGUAGCUAGUAGGUGGGGUAGUGUCCUACCUAGGCGACGAUGGUUAGCGGGUCUGAGAGGAUGAUCCGCCACACUGUCACUGGAAUACGGGCCAGACUCCUACGGGAGACAGCAGUGAGAAAUAUUGCGCAAUGGGGGCAGCCCUGACGCAGCGACGCCGCGUGAUUGAGGAAGGCCUUCGGGUCGUAAAGCUCUUUAAAGAGGGAAGAAGUGCAUGGUGGUUAAUAUCUGUCAUGUUUGACGGUACCUCUAAAGGAAGCACCGGCUAACUCCGUGCCAGCAGCCGCCGUAAAAC